GUCUAUGUAAUUUAUUUAAAAUACUGGUCUUGUAAACCAAAAAUAGGUAUUACCUCUUAGACU
rnacentral:tRNA from 1 species